rnacentral:sRNA from 1 species
UCCGGAGUAAUUACGUUUGCUUUAGUCCCACACGGAAAGAUUAACAGGAUUGGCUCUGCAUAGAUGAGUAUAUAGCUAGAGGGUAGGGCGACCUUUGAAGUUACUUACCUGGAUGGGGUCUAUGAACGAUCAAGAAGACUCAUGGCCUAGAUCAAUGGUUCACAUUGCACGUAGUGAGUGUGUUGAUCUACCAUCUCCUUUGGGAGAGUGGACGUCAUAAUUUGUGAUAGAGGGGGUACGCGUCCGCGCGGCCCCUGC